UCAGCGGAAAAGUUAUAAAAACUUCCAUGAAAAGGUUGGAUCAAAAGCACGAAGACCAUCUGGUUGGGGUUACCGUUUGAAUAAUUAAUUUCGGUGAUUUCUUUCAAGGGGCUAUGUAACGUGUAGCGUGUGGCCGGUUUUUGAAGCGUGCCAAGGUCGAGGAAAAUUCAGGCCAUUGCUCGGCAGGAUGCUUUAGAUGGCGCGAUAAGCUUAAGCAGACGAUAGAAGCAUAUAGGUUCGGUAACCGGAAGUUCGGCCUGGUCUUCGUUAUCGGUACCUUCUGUCAUGGCGUCUGAACCAUCCAAAAAUAACCAUUCACGGGGAUACGGAACUGCCACAACGAUUCAUUAAACGACUAUCGUGAUUGCACACGGCACGAAUCUUUUCCAAGUUCGUAUGUGGUUGAUUAGUUUCAAAUAGAAGAAUUGAUUUCUGGUUUUUGACGCGUUUGAAACAGGUCAGGAUAAGAGGGAUGCUUCGUAAAGCUGCAUCUGGAACCAGUUUUAAUUGAUCAUCAAAUUUUCACGUAUGAAAUGUUAGAGAUGAGAGAUUCUAUACACUAUAGUAUACACGGUGGAGGAAAAUUAAGUCGUCAAAGCGCAACUCCGCAGCUGAAGCAUUUUGAAAAACAUCGCAGAAAGCUAUUUGCCAAUUAGCAUCUAACUUCAAAGCACAGCUCGAACGAUUUCGAUACGAUGAAGAGAAUAUUCAUUUAUCGAGUCGUUGCUGCUUUCGAAAUCCCCCAAAGUUUUGAGCGGACACGUAUGUAUGACAAAAAAUUUGGAACUUAAAACUCUCGAUAGAUCUUGAGAGAGUCUCGUACGAGUGUUUCUAAAUUUAGACGUUUUCCCAUUUUAAUUCGUUUUUGUCUGGCUUUCUAAUUUUAACUUUCCAUGUCCUGGGAAGAAAAGGAACUGGAAAGCAGGGAAAAGAUACCUUCCAAAUUUAAAUUCAAUUUAUUUUUAUAUCUUUCUCUCUAACAUCUUUAACAUUAUCUUCACACGUUUUAAUGCAUUUUUAUGCUGCUUCUUUGUUAAUUUUCCUACCAUUGAAAAAGUAAUUACAAAGUGCAGAAAAACGUGUCUUCCACGUUUCAUAUGUUUUUAUAUAUCUGUCCUCUCUCGUAUUAACUUUUCUCUACCUUUAAAGGAAUUAAUUGCCAACUGCAGACAAAUCUGUCUCCCACGUUUCGUUUCAUUUUCUAGCUGUUCGUCUCGUAUUCAUUUUUCUAUCCUCGAGAAGAUUAAACAAAAAAAAAAAAAAAAAAGAAAACGGAUAAAUGAAAAGCAAAUCCUCGCAUUACCGAUCCGA